rnacentral:rRNA from 1 species
AACACGGUCAUGGUAGCGGAAGCUGCUGUGGGAUAAAUUUAUUUUAAAAUUUUAUCGGUUACGGGAUGCUAUAGCAUCCCGUAAUCCUUAUUUUAGAAAAGCGCCUGUACCUUUAGGUCUGCAGUAAAGAAUCUUGGACAAUGCCUACUCGGGUGAUCCAGCAAGCCUCCGUGAGGGAAGAAGAUGCUUUGCCAUUGUAAACCUCUUCCUUGUAGUUAGUAUAAUGAACGUAACUUUAAGGAAAGCUCUAGCUAAAUUCGUGCCAGCAGCUGCGGUAAAACGGAUAGAGCAAGUGUUAUUUAUAGGAACUAGGCUUAAAGCGCUAUCAGGUGGUGUCUACUUCUUAUUAAUAAAAGACUAGGAUUUAAUCCUUGGGCUAUUUCUAAUAAGUAGAUGCUAGAAUGAGUAGGAGAUAUAAGAUACUUUUAAUGUAAAGGUGAAAUUUGUGAAAAUUAAAAGGAUGACCCAUCGGUGAAGACUUUAUAUUACUGCUUAUUGACACUGGCCAGCGAAAGAUAAGGACUAAACUCGGAGUCGUUUCCCGAUUAUUCUUAUCCCUCAACUAUAAGUGUAAAAUCGUCAGUACUUAAUACGUCUGAUGGUUUCAAGUUUACGCAUAAACACUUCGCCUAGGAACUACGAACGCAAGUUUGAAACUUAAAGGAAUUGACGGUGAAUCUUUACAGCUGUGGAUCAUAUGAUUUAAUCCGAUGUACCGCGUUAAAUCUUACCAGUCAUAGAAAGCUACUGUUUUCCCGAAAUAUAAAUUUUCGAUAGGUAGAUUAAUAUAUGUAUCAGGUAAUCACCUGUAGCUACUUAAAAGUAGUCUAUCUUCAAUCUAUCUUAUAAACGUACUCCAGGUGGUGCAUGGCUGUCGUCAAUUCGUGUUUUGAUAUGUCUGGUUAGGUCCUCGAACGAAUGCAACCCCUUAAUCUAGUUUAUAUGCGUAAGCUGUCUAGAUUUACUACCAGUUUGGUACUGGCUGAAGGUUGGGAUCAUGUCAAGUCGUUAUGCCCUUUAUAGACUGGGCUAUUCAUAUGAUACAAUGGCUCUUACAAUGAGUUGCUAAUACUUAUCUAUUAGCUAAGCUUAAAAAUUGCCUCAGUUCGAAUUGUAGUCUGAAACUUGGCUACAUGAAGGUGGAAUAGCUAGUAAUCACUUAUCAUCAUGGAGUGGUGAAUUUUUUCGAUUCAAGUACAGACUGCCCGUCACGUGGUUGAAGUUGGCACUAGCGGAACCUUUCGGGAUUAUAUUUGAGUUUUUUAAAAAUACAGGUUUUGAUCUCUAUUUUUACUCAAUUUAGUUGUUUGGGAUGCAUGGGUUAGCGACGACUACGAAGUCGUAACACGGUCAUGGUAGCGGAAGCUGCUGUGG